CGCUCCGGUGGCGUAAGUGGUUGGAGCGUCCGCCUCGAAUUCGGGAGGUCGCGGGUUCGAACUCCGGUCGAGUGA